rnacentral:rRNA from 1 species
AGGACGAACGCUGGCGGCGUGCUUAACACAUGCAAGUCACGGGGGCCCGUAGCAAUACGGGCAACCGGCGAACGGGUGCGUAACACGUGAGCAAUCUGCCGAUUUCUGGGGGAUAGCCAGCCUAACGGCUGGGUAAUACCGCAUACGCUCGUUGGGGGGAGUCCCCUGAUGAGGAAACCUCUGGGGGAGAUCGAGGAGCUCGCGACCUAUCAGCUAGUUGGCGGGGUAACGGCCCACCAAGGCAGCGACGGGUAGCUGGUCUGAGAGGAUGGCCAGCCACAUUGGGACUGCGACACGGCCCAGACUCCUACGGGAGGCAGCAGUGGGGAAUAUUGCGCAAUGGACGAAAGUCUGACGCAGCGACGCCGCGUGUGGGAUGAAGCCUUUCGGGGUGUAAACCACUGUUGCCCGGGACGAAACUCCUCUUUCGAGAGGAUUGACGGUACCGGGUGAGGAAGCACCGGCUAACUCUGCGCCAGCAGCCGCGGU